CAGGGUCGGGGCUGUGGGGGCCUGGCGGAGGGGGGGUAUGAAGCUGCUGCGGGGGCCGCUGGGGGCUGCCCUGGGCCUCGUGUUGCUGCUGAGCCCGGUGCGGACGGUGGAGCCCAUCAGCCUCGGGCUGGCGCUGGCUGGCGCCGCCUCAGCGCUCACCGGCCUCAUCUCCUACCCCCGCCUCUACUGCUACUUCAGGGAGUGCUGCCUCCAGCGGGAGGGGGCCCGGGCGGGCGCAGCGCUCCAGGAGGAUUUGGACAAGAAACUGUUUGGCCAGCACCUCGUGAAGAAGGUGAUUGUGAAAGCUGUGAUUGGCUUCUUGAACAAUACAAACCCCAAAAAGCCUCUCACCCUCUCCUUGCAUGGAUGGACUGGUACUGGCAAAAACUUUGUCAGUAAAAUAAUUGCCGAGAGUAUCUAUGAAGGAGGCCUGAACAGCAAUUAUGUCCAUCAAUUUGUGUCCACUUUGCAUUUUCCCCAUGCACAUAGUGUUGGCCACUACAAGGACCAGUUGCAGUCUUGGAUUCGGGGAAACGUGAGCGCCUGUGGCAGGUCAAUCUUUAUAUUUGAUGAAAUGGAUAAAAUGCAUGCAGGGCUCAUUGAUUCCAUCAAACCAUUCUUGGACUAUUACGAGCAGCUUGAUGGAGUGUCCUAUCGGCGAGCCAUCUUCAUCUUUCUCAGCAAUGCAGGGGCUGAAAAGAUAACAGAGGUGGCAUUAGAUUUCUGGAAAAGUGGAAAGAAAAGGGAAACCAUGGAACUCAAAGACCUGGAAGCUGGAGUGUCUCUGUCUGUCUUCAACAAUAAGAAUAUUUGAAAGCUACACGUCCGCAGCAGCAGCAGAGUGCCCCGUGCCAACACCCACGGAUGGGAGAGGAAUAUAUUGCUACAUAUCAGUACUGCAUGGCUCAUUCCACAGAGAACUGGGGCUGGAUAAUAUACAUGGGAUCCCAUGGACCUCACAAGCUCAGAAGUACUCACUGUUCCUGUUAUUGAAAAUCUCAGCGGAUAGCAUAGACUGCAGGUCUGUCAGGGGAAUUUCUUCUCUUCCCUUCUGCCUCCUCCAAUGAUCGAGCGCCACCUCUGUUAUCUUGUCCCCUCCUGCGUUACUGUUAGGAGAGAAAUGAACUGGAUCAUCAGAAUGACCCUCAGCAAAGUAUUAUCUCAGGAACAACACAAAGAGCCAGAUUGUGCCCCCUAGAUCCAUGCACGGAAGGAACCCUAAGUGGAAGAAGAACUGGAAAGAGCAGUGAAGCAGUUACAAAUGGGAAAGCUGCAGGAAUAGACAAUAUAAAGCUGAGCUGCUAAAAUCUGGUGGGACAAGUGCUGUCAAAGCAUUAGGAAAAAUAUAAAAGACGGUAUUGGAGAAAGAGAAGGUACCGGAGUGGCUAACGGUAACAUUUGUACCAGUCCUGAAGGAAGGAGAUCCUGUCACUCUGAAUAAUUGUAGAGGUAUAAGUCUUCUGGCUGACAUGAGGGUAGGACAGGUUCAGGUAUCACAUAUGGACAGUCUCUUCUUGGUGACCAAGGAGAGAGUGUACAGCAAGGUACCUGAACCUGUGCAAUCAAACUGUAGCCUGGUGAAAGCCUAUUAGCACCUGCUUCUCCCUUAGCCCUUGCUGACUCUAUUGGGUCACAGUUACUCACUAACCAUUGGAUAUCCUUACUUCAGGAAGAGGAAGAUGGCCUUGCCAUAGUAGACGCCAUUGAUAGCCUCGCGAUGACUGAGGUACGGCAUGAUGGAGUCAAUCAGACCAUGCGGCAUCUGGUCCAUUUCCGAGAAAAUAAAAAGCGACCUCGGACAGACACUGACAUUCCCUCGAAUCCAGUUCUGCAGCUGCUCCUGUGGGGAUGGGCAAGAGGGUCAGUGAGCAAGGGGAGCUGGAAAUCAAGAUUGGAGCUGGAUUAUUUUUUUGUGGGGGAUUCCACCGGUACUCUAUCUUGGAGGGACUAUUAAUGUAAUGCUAAUGAUACGUAAAGGUAAUCAAAUUUCACGUGUAAGAGUCUCUCAUUGACUUCAAUGGGAGCAGGAUCAGACUCUCAGUACCUACAUGUGUGUCGGCAAGGAAUUUGUCUGGAUAUUGACUUCCAUGAGACAUUAGGUAUUAACCGUUGCCAGAGGGUCUAAUCCUGAACUCAUUAAAGUCAAUGGGAGCUUUGGUUGAAUAGGGCCGGGGGGAGAGAGGCAGAAAUACUGAAAAGAUGGACCAAUAAUCUGAUGUGAUGUGGUAAAUUCUAUGUCUCUGUAUAUGAGGGCUAUAGAUUCCUUGGGCUGUUGUUCGCUGACAGGAUAUAGUCGGAUAGAAUAGGUCUCAAAUUUGACCUACUUCCUAAAUGUUAUAAUCUAGUGACGAAUGUCUAAAUCCUCUAAAAGAGUGCACUGUUUAUGUAGGACCUGCAGUAAUAAAUUUGGGGCAAACUGUGUGCCUAAAGCAAGAA